CUUACCGGGAGUCGCUGGCGCCGUCGCCUUCCCGGCGCCGCCCCCGCCCCUCCACGCGGGGCCGGGGGCAGAAUGGGCGUCUCGCUUCUCCUCACGAAACAAAGAAGCAGCCGCAGCCGCCGCCGCCGCCGCCGCCGAGCGAGGGUACUGUGCAACUCCUCUGCCCCCAUGGAGGUUUCUGUUCUAAAGAAACGGACAAAGAAACAUUAACCUGUGUGGUGAAUCACCAAGAGGAGAUUAGUUCAAAUCACAGGCUUGGAGAAUUUUCUGAUGAUAGCUAGAAUGAUUGCUGCUCAGAGGACCAGGCCCAGCUGUCUCCAUGGUAACAUUAUACCUUACCAGUGUCGCUCACAUUGCUCCAAGAACACGGUUCGUAGGAUCAGUCCCAGUCAUCGCCAUGGUAACAUCGUACCCUACCAGCAUCACCUUCAUCUCCCCAAGAACGUGGUUGCACAGGGACCAAGGCAGACCUGCAAGGGAAAAAGGAGUCACGGGUUCAAUCCCCGAUCCAGGAAGAUCCCACAUGCUGGAGCGACCGAGCUCUGCUCCACAACUACUGAAGCCUGUGCUCCACGAGAGAAGUCACCAUAGUGAGAAGCCUAGCACGGCAGCUACAGAGUCGUCUCCUCUCACCACAGCAUCCAACAUGGAGAAGCUGGAGACCCUACUAGCCUUGGAAUGAGAAGAAAUUAUAACAAAAUAUGAGCAGGUAGGGGUCACAGCCAAGGCUGAGCAGAGCGAGCCUGAGUGGACAUCCUCCCCAGGACAAGCAGGUAUGGCUCAGGUGGGGGUCCCCGCAAAUGGGACCAGGUGGCCCAGGCAGGAUCCUAGCCCAGGCAGAUCCCACUGAGUCAGGCGGGCCUGGUGCUGUGCCCCUGGGAUGCAGGGUGGGGAGUUGUCCUGCUCUGCCUUUCCUGGCAUCUCUCGGCCCCCUCUGGCUUUUGGGCCAUGCAAGGUCUUCAGAGGAACCAGGGGAGGAUGCGGACCUCUCACUGUACAGUGGCACCAACAGGCUACGUUCCUUGCUGUGAGUCACUGGGACGCCCCUCUUUCCCAUCCUGGGGGUGGGUUUCCAUUGGCAGAAAGACCUUUCUGCAGAAUAAGGAGGGGAGGGACCCCUGGUGGCCAUGGCAGGCCAUGGCGCUGAUGCGUCCAAGAGCAGAGGUGGGGUCCGGGUGGGUCCUCCACGCACGUCUGGCUCUUGCAGAAGGUGGGCUACUUCCAGGGCAUGAAUGAGGUCGUGGCCGUACUGAUGUUCCUGAACGAGGACGACACCUUCUGGGGUUGUUCCAGCUGAUGACUGAUGAGAAGACCGCCAUGCGCAGUAAGUGCCUGCCGAGAACGGCUGGGCCAGCCUCAGGACCUGGGGUCUCUUUGCAGGGGGGCUGGUGGGACCCUGGCCCAGGCUACCUCCCCAUCAGCAAAGGGCACAGGUUCCCCACGCUGCCCUUUGGGUUCUGGAGCCUCGGCCCUCAGUCCCAGCCUCAUGCAGACCACCCUUCCUUCCUUCCCUGCUGGUCCUUCUGCCUCAAGCCUGCCAUCCACCAGGUGCCCCGCAAGCCCACGGCCGAUGAAGCCCAGGCAGCAGCACCACCUCCUCUGCCCCCAGCAGGGUUGCAGAGGCCAGGAGGUGGCCAGGCACAUACCCCCACCUCCCCUGGGGGCCACACUCCCUACCCCUCCAUACCAGGCCCGCCAUCCCCCACCAUGGCUGCUGUGGGGACGGCAUGCCGGGGCCAGAUGCCUGCCCACCCCUCUGCCCAGGGCGCCAGCUGAGCUGGGCAUCCAGGAGCAGGGCCUCUGCCCUGGCCUCACAGGCUGUCCUGCCUGGGAAGAGCAUGUCCAGCCAGGGCUCAAGAGGGCCCCACAGGUGGGGGUCACCACUAGGGGCUCCUGUGGUACUCCACUCCCCUCUGGGCCAGGCUCUGACUUGUGGGGGUCUGGGGGCUCCUCAAGUCUUCAUCCCUGGAUUCCUGAAAUUGCUAAGAUUCCAGGCCCAUCACAAGCACAUUCUCGGCAGAGCCCUCCCCAAGUUGAAGGGACAUUCAGGAAAACCCACCUAGUCUCAGCACCCAGGGCUUCAGUAUCUGCGGCCUCAGCACUCACUUGCAAAAAGCCCAGGACCUCCAGGGAGCCGACAAGUGGGUGAAGAAGCUGAGGAGUUGGCAAAAAUAAAAAGGCUGAGGGCAGCAAGAAGAUGUGCCGAAGGGUGUCCAUGGGCAUCCCUCCACCAGUGCGAGGGCAGGCCUGGUCUCUGCUCUUGGACCUGGAGAAGGUGAAGGCGGAGAACAUCAGGAAAUAUCAGGUGCGGCCGGUCCACCUGAGCAGGGGCAACAGGCCAGGCCAUCAGGAGCUUGGCGGGCUGCCCCUGGGGACCCCUUGCCCAUCCCCAAGGGUGGGGGAUGGAGGUGUCGGGCUGUGGGGCUCCACGCUCCUCCUGGGCGGUUUUUAGAGUCAGGGUGUUGGGAGCCCGAGCCCCCUGAGUCGAGCUGGUGCCAAAAGAGGAGUAGGUGACUGUCAGAAGGCAAGGCAGCGAACUGGAGUCUGUCCUCGCCACGCCCACCCCAUCCCGCCCUCUUCUCGCCCCGCCCCUCCUGUUACCGCCUAAAGGCAGGGACACUCCAGAGGGUGUUAGGAAGCAGAGGCCCAGCCGCCCUCCCCGCCUGCCCCGCACCUGGGAGCCGCCUCCCGGGACCAGGCUCAGGGCCUGGCGGGAGCUGUCACCUGGGAGGCCCCUGGAGGAGGCGGAGGAGGGGUCCAGAGGGCCUGGACGUUACCUUGUUAACGGUCGGGGUUCUGGGCCUUGGACGGGGGCGUCACUCGUGAGCCCCGCUGGCUUCAGAAACAAGCGGAAUGAGGUUUCUGCAGAAAAGAGCUCCGGUCCCUCCGGCGGCGCAGCGCCCCCGCGUCGCGGCAGUUGUGGCGGUUGGUCCAGUGGGUCAGGACCUCCUGACGUUGGCCCCGCCCCCUCGGCCCCGCCCACAGCGCGUAAAAGAGCCGGCCCGGCGGUGCUGUGCUGAUGUCAAGCACAUUGACGUAGACAUCAACCGCACCUUCCGGAAUAACCUCUUCUUCUAGGAGCGAUAUGGAAUCAAGUGGGUCCCCAGGUUCCUGGCUGGGAGGCCGUGGGCCUGGGUCUGGAGCUGGGGUGGCAGGGUGUCGACCCCCGCCCGUCCUGGCUGUACCGGUGAGCCUCGAGCGUGGCGCGAGUAGGCACGUUAGGAGCCCGGGCAGAGGUGGAGGGCACGCGGCAGGUGGCACUUGGGGAGGGGAGAGUGGGGCGGGGCAGCCGCGGGAGGUGAAGGGCUCCAGGCGGCAGAGACCUGGCUGGACAGGAGCUCAGACGGACUGAAUUCGGGUUAGAGGGCUCAAAAUGACGCCCCAUCUUGAUGGUGUUACUUGCAUAUUUCUACUUCUACAGUUUCUAUCAUUUGUAAAAAUAGAUUGGUGAACCCCAAAUUCCAUCACUUAGGGACCCAGUUCCAUCCCAUCUCCUGCGUUCACCACAUCCUUGACCAGCACAUGCCUUUCACAGCGGACUCAAGACCUCUGGCCUCACCCCGUCCCUAGGCUUUCACUAUGCUCUUUUUUGGCCACGCCAUGUGGCUUGUGGGAGCUUAGUGCCCUGACCAAGGAGCAAACCCAUGCCCCCUGUGGUGGAAGAACAGACUCUUAACCCCUGGUCAGCCAGGGAACCCCCCCAACCUACCGCCGCUAGUAUGCAUUUUAAAAACAAGGAUUCUUUGGAAUUCCCUGGCAGUUCAGUGGUUAGGACUCCACACUCAUUGCAGAGGACCCAGGUUGCAUCCCUGUCAGGGAACUAAGAUCUCGCAAGCCAAGCAUUGGGCAAAAAGAAAAAAAGAAGCGGGAUUCUUUUUUUACAUGUGACCUGGAACCUGUUCCUACACCUGAAGCAUUUACUGUAAUCACCUAAUACGCACCUAGAGAUCACAUCUCCCAACACUUCAUGCUUUCUGAACAAGCUGUUCCAAUCCAGGUAACUGGGGGUGGGUUGAAGAUACUGACAGUCAGGGAAAACACGUAUGGGCAGGCAAGAGAGAAGGUUCUGCCACGACCGAUUCAGGUUGCAGGCUACUGGCCUGCAGAUCAAGCUCACUCUGGACCAAGAGACACUCUUCAGAGCUCCCAUCCCAGAGAGAAGAGGGGUCUGGCCACAACGGGGCUGAGAGCAACAAGGCAGGAGUGGGCUGUGCUGCCCGAGUGGUGACCCCAGACCCCUCACGCUCCUCUCAGUGAGAUGUCUCUACUGAGGGGCCCUGCUGGCCCCAAAGCAGGGUGGCCCCAGGACUCCUUGGCUUUGGGGGCUCAUUUCUCAAACACACUUGCUCUGUCAUGAGGCUCUGUCAGACAAUAUAAAACUAAGAGCAUCAGUGUGAAAGAAGCCCCUGUGUCCCCUUCCCCAGGCAGCAGGCCCUGUCCCACGUGCUGGUGGCCUACUCCAUGUAGGACACUGAGAAUAUCCACACGCCUAGGUCCUGCCCAUUCCAGGGGGUCUUCCUGCUGGUUACGAAUCAGGAGCAUCCAGGAGCAGAGGUCGGAGCGUCAGGAGGGGACAGAGAGGCCUCCAGGUGGGUCCUCCACACACGUCUGGCUCUUGCAGGAGGUGGGCUACUUCCAGGGCAUGAAUGAGGUCGUGGCUGUCCUACUGAUGUUCCUGAACUAAGAGGAGGCCUUCUGGGCACGGGUGCAGCUGAUGACUGACGACAAGCACGCCAUUGGCGGUAGGUAGCCGAGGACGGCUGGGCAAGCCUCAGGACCUGGGGUCUCCUUGCAGGGGGGUGGUGGGACCCUGGCCCAGGCUACCUCCCCAUCAGCAAAGGGCACUGGCUCGCCACACUGCCCUUUGGGUUCUGGAGCCUCGGCCCUCAGUCCCAGCCUCAUGCAGACCACCCUUCCUUCCUUCCCUGCUGGUCCUUCUGCCUCAAGCCUGCCAUCCACCAGGUGCCCCGCAAGCCCACGGCCGAUGAAGCCCAGGCAGCAGCACCACUUCAUCUGCCCCCAGCAGGGUUGCAGAGGCCAGGAGGUGGCCAGGCACACACCACCACCUCCCCUGGGGGCCACACUCCCUACCCCUCCAUACCAGGCCCGCCAUCCCCCACCGUGGCUGCUGUGGGGACGGCAUGCCGGGGCCAGAUGCCUGCCCACCCCUCUGCCCAGGGCGCCAGCUGAGCUGGGCAUCCAGGAGCAGGGCCUCUGCCCUGGCCUCACAGGCUGUCCUGCCUGGGAAGAGCAUGUCCAGCCAGGGCUCAAGAGGGCCCCACAGGUGGAGGUCACCACUGGGGGCUCCUGUGGUACUCCACUCCCCUCUGGGCCAGGCUCUGACUUGUGGGGGUCUGGGGGCUCCUCAAGUCUUCAUCCCUGGAUUCCUGAAAUUGCUAAGAUUCCAGGCCCAUCACAAGCACAUUCUCGGCAGAGCCCUCCCCAAGUUGAAGGGACAUUCAGGAAAACCCACCUAGUCUCAGCACCCAGGGCUUCAGUAUCUGCGGCCUCAGCACUCACUUGCAAAAAGCCCAGGACCUCCAGGGAGCCGACAAGUGGGUGAAGAAGCUGAGGAGUUGGCAAAAAUAAAAAGGCUGAGGGCAGCAAGAAGAUGUGCCGAAGGGUGUCCAUGGGCAUCCCUCCACCAGUGCGAGGGCAGGCCUGGUCUCUGCUCUUGGACCUGGAGAAGGUGAAGGCGGAGAACAUCAGGAAAUAUCAGGUGCGGCCGGUCCACCUGAGCAGGGGCAACAGGCCAGGCCAUCAGGAGCUUGGCGGGCUGCCCCUGGGGACCCCUUGCCCAUCCCCAAGGGUGGGGGAUGGAGGUGUCGGGCUGUGGGGCUCCACGCUCCUCCUGGGCGGUUUUUAGAGUCAGGGUGUUGGGAGCCCGAGCCCCCUGAGUCGAGCUGGUGCCAAAAGAGGAGUAGGUGACUGUCAGAAGGCAAGGCAGCGAACUGGAGUCUGUCCUCGCCACGCCCACCCCAUCCCGCCCUCUUCUCGCCCCGCCCCUCCUGUUACCGCCUAAAGGCAGGGACACUCCAGAGGGUGUUAGGAAGCAGAGGCCCAGCCGCCCUCCCCGCCUGCCCCGCACCUGGGAGCCGCCUCCCGGGACCAGGCUCAGGGCCUGGCGGGAGCUGUCACCUGGGAGGCCCCUGGAGGAGGCGGAGGAGGGGUCCAGAGGGCCUGGACGUUACCUUGUUAACGGUCGGGGUUCUGGGCCUUGGACGGGGGCGUCACUCGUGAGCCCCGCUGGCUUCAGAAACAAGCGGAAUGAGGUUUCUGCAGAAAAGAGCUCCGGUCCCUCCGGCGGCGCAGCGCCCCCGCGUCGCGGCAGUUGUGGCGGUUGGUCCAGUGGGUCAGGACCUCCUGACGUUGGCCCCGCCCCCUCGGCCCCGCCCACAGCGCGUAAAAGAGCCGGCCCGGCGGUGCUGUGCUGAUGUCAAGCACAUUGACGUAGACAUCAACCGCACCUUCCGGAAUAACCUCUUCUUCUAGGAGCGAUAUGGAAUCAAGUGGGUCCCCAGGUUCCUGGCUGGGAGGCCGUGGGCCUGGGUCUGGAGCUGGGGUGGCAGGGUGUCGACCCCCGCCCGUCCUGGCUGUACCGGUGAGCCUCGAGCGUGGCGCGAGUAGGCACGUUAGGAGCCCGGGCAGAGGUGGAGGGCACGCGGCAGGUGGCACUUGGGGAGGGGAGAGUGGGGCGGGGCAGCCGCGGGAGGUGAAGGGCUCCAGGCGGCAGAGACCUGGCUGGACAGGAGCUCAGACGGACUGAAUUCGGGUUAGAGGGCUCAAAAUGACGCCCCAUCUUGAUGGUGUUACUUGCAUAUUUCUACUUCUACAGUUUCUAUCAUUUGUAAAAAUAGAUUGGUGAACCCCAAAUUCCAUCACUUAGGGACCCAGUUCCAUCCCAUCUCCUGCGUUCACCACAUCCUUGACCAGCACAUGCCUUUCACAGCGGACUCAAGACCUCUGGCCUCACCCCGUCCCUAGGCUUUCACUAUGCUCUUUUUUGGCCACGCCAUGUGGCUUGUGGGAGCUUAGUGCCCUGACCAAGGAGCAAACCCAUGCCCCCUGUGGUGGAAGAACAGACUCUUAACCCCUGGUCAGCCAGGGAACCCCCCCAACCUACCGCCGCUAGUAUGCAUUUUAAAAACAAGGAUUCUUUGGAAUUCCCUGGCAGUUCAGUGGUUAGGACUCCACACUCAUUGCAGAGGACCCAGGUUGCAUCCCUGUCAGGGAACUAAGAUCUCGCAAGCCAAGCAUUGGGCAAAAAGAAAAAAAGAAGCGGGAUUCUUUUUUUACAUGUGACCUGGAACCUGUUCCUACACCUGAAGCAUUUACUGUAAUCACCUAAUACGCACCUAGAGAUCACAUCUCCCAACACUUCAUGCUUUCUGAACAAGCUGUUCCAAUCCAGGUAACUGGGGGUGGGUUGAAGAUACUGACAGUCAGGGAAAACACGUAUGGGCAGGCAAGAGAGAAGGUUCUGCCACGACCGAUUCAGGUUGCAGGCUACUGGCCUGCAGAUCAAGCUCACUCUGGACCAAGAGACACUCUUCAGAGCUCCCAUCCCAGAGAGAAGAGGGGUCUGGCCACAACGGGGCUGAGAGCAACAAGGCAGGAGUGGGCUGUGCUGCCCGAGUGGUGACCCCAGACCCCUCACGCUCCUCUCAGUGAGAUGUCUCUACUGAGGGGCCCUGCUGGCCCCAAAGCAGGGUGGCCCCAGGACUCCUUGGCUUUGGGGGCUCAUUUCUCAAACACACUUGCUCUGUCAUGAGGCUCUGUCAGACAAUAUAAAACUAAGAGCAUCAGUGUGAAAGAAGCCCCUGUGUCCCCUUCCCCAGGCAGCAGGCCCUGUCCCACGUGCUGGUGGCCUACUCCAUGUAGGACACUGAGAAUAUCCACACGCCUAGGUCCUGCCCAUUCCAGGGGGUCUUCCUGCUGGUUACGAAUCAGGAGCAUCCAGGAGCAGAGGUCGGAGCGUCAGGAGGGGACAGAGAGGCCUCCAGGUGGGUCCUCCACACACGUCUGGCUCUUGCAGGAGGUGGGCUACUUCCAGGGCAUGAAUGAGGUCGUGGCUGUCCUACUGAUGUUCCUGAACUAAGAGGAGGCCUUCUGGGCACGGGUGCAGCUGAUGACUGACGACAAGCACGCCAUUGGCGAACACCUCCUGAAGCUGCCCCUGGAAGGCCUGCAGGAGUCCCUACAGGACACACUGUCCCGGGCCUGGGCCCUGGAGGACGACGCAUGCCCAUGCAGCUGCAGGCCUCCAUGGCUGAGCUACCCAGGAUGGAGUAUGACCUGCCCCUGCCCAGGUGGGCUCAGCCCUGGUCUCCCCCUGAGUCACCCUCUCAGGCAGUAGGGGGUGGGCGAGCCCCGGGCCUUCCCCUCACCCCUGGCCAUUUGAUCUUCUGGGCGGCCACCACAGAGCCCAGGGGUUGGCGGCCUAGUGGGCUGUUCUCCAAGCUGGGCUGGCUCUGCCAUGCCUGGCCCCACGGGCCCACCUUGUGCAGACCGAACGUCCUGGAGGAGAAGCUGACUCUGUUCACUUACAGCUAAACCUGAGGAAAUCCCCAGGCAGCCCCUGGGCCUGGAGUGACUGGUCCCAGACCCCAGGCCUCUCCCGACCCCUCCCAGCAUCGGAACCCUAACCCUGGAGAGGAAGGGCUGGCCCUACGAGGCCCACCUGGCCCACCUGAGCAGCCCGGACCUUCACCUGGCCAGGCCGUCCCAAAUGCCAAGGAGCAGCCCCCUGAGGGGGCCAUAGCUGCAGGCCUGGCUCUGGGGGCCUGGAGGCUCCAAGUCUGGCCUGCCUGCCCCCCUGCCCCCAGGACAGCCCUCAGGAUCGCCUGUGGCCACGGUGAUACAAUUCCCUCCCAAACCUCCCAGUGAUCUGUGAGGCCACAGGCAGGUGGUCCCCAGACCUCGGCUUUGAGCCAGAAUGCUGGGUCCCUUCCCCUUCAGUCCCUGCCUGGGCCACCCCCAGGGCCACACAACAGCCUGACCCCAUGACCCCACUGAGGCCUCGGCAACCAGCUUCACCCAGCCUGCUGAAGAUGGCACCGCUGGGCCCAGGACGCCCCUCGUGCCCUGAGGCAGCUGCAGCCAGCAUCCCUCCCAUGAGAGUGACCAGCACGGCCACGAUGGAGCCAGGACAGCACCCCAAGAGCUGUGCCAAGGCCCCACAUGUCUGCAUGACCCCGUGAGCUCUGUGUCCACAGGGAGCCUGGACGUUCAGGGGCCUCAAGAAGACGAGGUGACUAUGAGCACAGGGAUUCCGAGGCUCCCGGGGACCCCGAGGCCCCCAGAAGCCGGCAACGUGCCCUGCUUUUUCACGCUGAGCUGCUUGGAGGAUGGGCCCUACCCCCACCCCCGUAUAGCACAAGUCCCUGACUCCGAAGGGCCUGAAUUUGGGCCCCAGGAAGGCAGAGGCUGUGUGAGCACCCCCCAGCCUGGACUGUGACUAAAGAGGCUGCCCCGGCCGGUCAGGAACUCUGGCUCAAGGCAAGGCGAGCCCUCUCGGAGCUGUGUGUGGUCUCCCACAGCCUUCGGUGACCUGGGGAGCCUCUGGGAGCAACAGGCCACCUCCACACUCACACGCAUAAGGAGGCGGGGCUCGAGCAGAGGGUGCUGCUGUUUGGGCUGACUGUGUCACUGUGUCCAAGUCAGUGACUGCCUUUUGGGGCCCCUAAAUCUCAGCAAACACAACCCCACCCGGGGUCCAACUGGGCUCCCUGCCCCCAGCCAUUCCCUAUGAAGGUCUCCCUCCAGGGGACGGGCAGACUUGGUUUCAGUUUCCCCCCUUGCUGGUUAAAGGUUAAUACGUUUUCAUGCA